rnacentral:rRNA from 1 species
GUCCUAGCCCUAAACGGUGCUUGCUUGCUGUAAAAGGAAUCGACCCCUUUUGUGGCGGAGCUAACGCGUUAAGCAAGCCGCCUGGGGAAGUACGGUCGCAAGAUUAAAAACUCAAAGAAAUUGACGGGGGCCUGCACAAGCGGUGGAGUAUGUGGCUUAAUUCGAUGCAACGCGAAGAACCUUACCUGGCCUUGACAUGCAUCUAGUAGAAGGGUGAAAGCCUGACGAGGUAGCAAUACCAGGAUGCACAGGUGCUGCAUGGCUGUCGU